ACUAUCUCCUUGCCCUUGAUCCCUGCCAGACACCUCUUCUGUUUAGAUAUUUGGAUACCGGGCCUUGUCCCCUGUCCUCUUCAGCUCAGGGUGCUCAGCAGCCCAGACUAGUGCUCUGGCAGGAGUUGUUGGAGCUCCCAACUCUGUGUUCUUGGACUACCUGGGUGGAGCCAGUAUGGUGAUUCUGCAGGGCUCAAGCAGACAUCAAGCUGGCCCAAGGACUCAGGCUGUCUGGGAUUUUCCUCAGGCCUGUGCCAGCUCCCAGACAGCCUGGCACUGGCCAAGCAUACCUUCUGUGUAGCCCCUUGAAAUCUUUCCCUUUACCUCCCUGGCACCCUGUAAUGAAUACUAUGUGUCUGUAUGUCUGACUCUGCUUAGGGGGCCCUCAGCUGUCCCAGCUCUGAAGCUUACUGACACAUCUGGGCCUGGGCCUGCUCCGGAAAAUGGGGAAGGUUAGGAGCAGGAGAGAAAACCUCUUGGAGUGCCUAGCAUCAGACUCUAGCCCAAUUUAGGAGUUGUACCAUUUGAGCCAAAUGCCUUUUCUUCUCUGCCUGUUUCCCCAUCUACAAAACCAGGCUUUCCAGUAGCUCUGGCCCUUGGCUUUUACUGCCAUCACUUUGGAGGAAAGUACUCAGCCUCAAAAAGGCCAAGGUCAACUCACUGACAUGCCUAGGGCCCACUCAGCUGGCCUUUCAGGGAAACCAAUUAGGAACACCAGGGAACCAAGGUCCAUGACCUUGGGGCAAAGCAGGCAAUGCAGCAUGAAAGUACUUUCUAUCCAGUUGUCCUGGACUCGAAAGGAGUGGCUGGGACCUGAGCACCCCUGCGUCCUUCUCAGUGACUAGUGGAAGAUCCAGUCCCUGGACACCAAGCAGGAUGGAAAUGGGCAAGCAGGGUGCUGCUGUACUGAGAUGCUGGGCUAAGGGACCCUGCAGUCAAUUUUUUCACAAAAGGACUUCCCCGACUCCCUCCUAACUUGGGGAAAGGCUACAGCCCCUCCAGUGGACUGGGAACAGCCUUUGGAGGAGAUGCUAAGCCUCAAAAGUCAGGCUCUCUAACUCAAAAUGGCUAUGGAACAGGCGUUGGAGGUGGUAUGGAACCUCCAAAGCCAGGCUUUGGAGGGAAGGUGAAGCCCCAGAAAUCAGGAUAUGGGCCUGGGCUAGGAGCUGGAGCCUUUCCAGGAGUGGGAGGAGCUCAGCCAGCACCUGCACCUCAGAAUGGCUAUGGACCAGGUACUGGAGAGGGCAUGAAAGCUCCAAAGCCAGGGCCUCCAGCUCAGAAUGGUCAUGGACCAGGUACCGGAGAAGGCAUGAAACCUCCAAAGCCAGGGUUCAGCAAUGGGAAUGGAAUAGGAGCUGGAGCCUUCCCAGGAAUUGGAGCCCAGCCAGGCUUGGGAGCUGGCAUGAAGCCUCAGAAGCCAGGAUUUGGCAAUGGAAACACCCUGGGGUCCCAGCCAGACUUUGGAGGAGUUGGGAAAGCCCAGAAGCCAGGACUUGGGAAUGGAAAUGGGCAGGGAGCCGGGGCCUUCCUGGGAACUGGAGCCCAGCCAGGCCUUGGAGGAGGACUAAGACCCCAGAAGCCAGGCUACGAAGGUGUGAAGCCUCAGAAACCAGGAUUCGGAAACGGGAAUGGAUUUGGCCUGGGAGCCCAGCCAGGUGAUGGUGGUGGGCUCUGGGGUGGAGUACACAUGUCUAUAACCUGCUUUCCCCUCCCAGACUUUGAAGGACAGGGCCAGUCAGUGAGGGGAGGGUCAGGGAAGUCCUCAGGUUACCUAGAUUUCUGCUGGCCAUAAAGCAGGGACACACUGUGGGCCUUUUGUCCCUUGUUCAUCCUUCUCCACAGGGCCUCCAGCUCAGAAUGGUCAUGGACCAGGUACCGGAGAAGGCAUGAAACCUCCAAAGCCAGGGUUCAGCAAUGGGAAUGGAAUAGGAGCUGGAGCCUUCCCAGAAAUUGGAGCCCAGCCAGGUUUUGGAGAAGGCAGGAAACCCCAGAAGCCAGGAUAUGGGAACGGAAAUGGACUGGAUGCCCUACCAGGUUAUGGGCCAGAAUUGAAGGCUCAGAAACUAGGAUUAUGGAAUGGCCGUGGGCUUGGAAUCCAGCUGGGGUACAGAAAUGGGCUGGGACCUAGAGCCUUCCAAGGCCAGGGACCACAGCCAGGGUACAUGACAGGGAACAGGCUAGGGAUCCCACCAGGAUACAACAAUGGAAAUGGCAUGGCAGCCCAGCCGGGUCCCUGCCACCGUGGCCUUUCUCCAGCAAAGUUCCUCCCCAGGCCUCCCACCACAGUCCCUUCAGCUAAAGGAGGUGGCUGGAGCCUGAAAUCCCAGCUCCCACCCCCAGUGCAGAAUGCACCAACCCCAGCCAUCCAGUGGGGACCGAAGCCUCAGAAAGCUGGUACGUAAGUCUCCAACUCCUGUAUCUCAGAAGAACAAACCCUCAACUUCUCUCUGCCUGUCUCUGGGUAUCAGGGCAUCCACCAUCCUGCUCUCAAACUGCCUCAGGUUCCCUAGGUCAAUCUGUGGCUCCUAAGGAGAUCACAAGGUCCCUCCCCUCCAUCUCCGGCCUCUGCCUUUCACAGGUUACCAGCCCUUCAAUGGCUACGGAGCUGGAGCAAAACUGGGCUUCCGUGGUGGCCUCAAGCUGCAGAAAGUUGGUUUCCAUUAUGGAAAUGAAGCUGUGGACGCGGGAAUUUUGCCAGAGACCCUGCAGCCAGGAUUCCCCAGAGCCAAUGGCUUUAGGAAUGGACUCAGGGAGGAGACUCUUCUCUACCCUAAAGCCACAGUUCCAGCCCUUGAAAGACAUGGUCAGGCUGGAGCCUUCCAGCCCUGGGGGGCUGGAAUGAAGCCAGGAUAUGGAUAUGCAGGCCUUGGGAUCCAGGCAGGGCCCUAUGGGCAGCUGAAGCCAGAGCAGCUGAAGCACCUGGGGGAUCCUGAAGUAAAAACAUAUACCAACAGCCAGCUGGGAAAUGGCUACAGGGGACACUGUCCUUCUGGGAAAUGCUGAAUGGAGCCUAGCCCUGCCGACCCCAGGGUCUCUGCAUUAGAGCCUGGUCAGAGGAGCACAGCAGGAGGAUCAUGAGACUUGCCCAGGGCACUGCACUGCCCUGCCCCGGGUCUCCUCUGGGCUGAAGUAUUAAUAAAAGCCAUAUGAUUCCCCGUUUGCCUCUGCAUGCAGGGGAGGGAUGCUGACUUCAGGGAGGGCGGCACAUGGCGCCUCACUUCAUCUUUAUCUGCUCAUCAAGUGUGGCUCUGUGCCAGGGGUGGAUUCCAUAUGGAAGACAGCGAAACAGAUUUAAAACCUGUCCCUAGGGAGGGGUGUUGUUUGAUCAUAGUCUAGUGGAGAAACAAAACAAAACAAAACAAACCACCCACGCCCAGUGUUUCGACUGGCAUGUACCUCAGUACUGCCUAGAAUGCUGGAGACUCUGGGUGUGAGCUCCAGUUCUGAAAAAGGAAGACCUACCUCUAAAUGGUGUCACAUUCUGAGGUCCUGGAGGAGUCUAGGAUGUAGGGAGCUUUUUGUUUUUUUACCUUGCAAAAGAAUGUUUUAUAGCUUGUUUCAAUUUGUAAUCCAUUUGCUAACGUUGUUAAAGAGGCUGGGUGUGAUGGCUGCAUUCUAACCGUGAAAGUGUGUGUGUGUGUGUGUAGGGGGGGGGGGGAACAGAAAGGCCGAAAGCUGAGGCAGGAGGACUCAGAGUUCAUUGAUAGACAGCGUGACCCUAUCUC
rnacentral:lncRNA from 1 species